AAUUAAGAAAUUAAAAGCCAAGCUGUCAGGAAUGUGACCACCCAGGAGUGCAGAAGGCAAAGGGAUCCUUUGUUCCAGGAGAUGCAGAGAGCUCUUUCCAGCGUUCCCCAGCCGGCGUCUCCCUGGGGCUGUGCUGUAUCCCUGAGCUGAGCGGCAAAUAGAGGCGGCAGGAUCUCCUUUCCAGAUGAGUAACCUGACACCCCAAACAGGCAAA
rnacentral:lncRNA from 1 species